rnacentral:rRNA from 1 species
UACAGAGGGGGCAAGCGUUGUUCGGAAUUACUGGGCGUAAAGGGCGCGUAGGCGGCCUGCUAAGUCGGACGUGAAAUCCCCCGGCUCAACCGGGGAACUGCACGGGAAACUAGCAGGCUUGAGUUCGGGAGAGGGAAGCGGAAUUUCGGGUGUAGCGGUGAAAUGCGCAGAUAUCCGAAGGAACACCGGUGGCGAAGGCGGCUUCCUGGACCGACACUGACGCUGAGGCGCGAAAGCUAGGGGAGCAAACGGG